UAAUACCAGUCGUGAUCAAAACACCUCUGGAAAGAACUGACAAGCAAACAUCCCAGGGUGGCGAAUAGAGUUAAAGUCAAUGGAAAUAUGUGCGCGAUAGUGUAGUGACGUUGAUUGUAUUGUAUUGUACUAACUUUAUCAAAAUAAAUUAAUUUCCGAACAAAUGGCGAUGAGACAGUUUUGGACUGAAUGAUGGAGCAGGCAAAAUUCAACCAAAAAAGCGCAUUUCGCGGAACUCUGUAUACACCAACGCAGGCGAUAGCAGUUCCGCCAUGGGAAAAGUUAUAAAAUGAAUGUCAACGGAAGCAUGUCGUCAAACCAUGUGGAUUGCAAUUUUAAAAAGAAACGAGACCAGAUGAUGAGAUGGUGGCGAGCCACAGUAAGACCCCUUGAUCAGUGCGACUCUUCUAGUGUUGUGGGCAACGGUACUGCGAUCGGUCCGUGUUGCAGUGGAGUGAAAAUUUAUUUAGAGUACCAAAUAUGUAAGAGCGGCUGCAGUAUCAGACCAAAAUGUUUAAUGACUUUUUUAUUAGGGAAUAAAAUGAUUCGUAAAUAAAUAAAUAAAUAAACAAAUGAAACUUAUGAAAAAUCGUACCCCGUAUAUCACAAGACAAGACAAUUAAAUGUUUGGAUCCACUAUUUUUCAAGAUUAAUCUCCCGAUAUGAAGUAAUAAAUUUAUGUUGGAAAUAAAGAACAUUAUGACAUUGUAACAAUAUUUAUUUAUUAUGAUUGUAAAAAAUAUAUUGGGAUUAUGCAAAUCAAUACCAAA